ensembl:lncRNA
GGGAAAUACGCGUUCUCCAUGAGACCCAACAGCCAUUAAAGAGAUUAACAGGCUUUGUUGAAACAUAUCAUUACAGCACAAGUCCCUGUCAAGACGCACCAGAUGUCAGACAGCAGCAGGCUCUGCAAACUGAGUUACAGACGAUGCAAUACAGGUUUCCCAUCGUGCCAGGACGGAGAGAAAAGGGAAGACUCCAGUUUGACACAGGACACCGGCGUUGUUUGCAGACACCUUCACCGGUGGCGUCCCCCUCACUAGUAGCAGAACGAGAGCACAGGGAGUGACAAGUGUUGAAAUGACCUCAAAAGGUGUUAAAGAGUUCCUCAGCUGAGACGAGGAGUUCAGGCAGAUGGCUCUAAUCCAUAACAUCACCUGGAAGCAGAACUCAGAGCUGCAACAGACUUGAAGAACUCCCAGCAUAACCAACCACUCCGAACCUCCCAGCAUACAUUUUCCAGAACUCAUUCUAGUUGGAGUGCUGGCGGGGGAGUCGACUGACGAGGACAGCAGAGAUCGUCGUGGGAUCUGCCACAAUGAGGCUCUCUCUCUCCUCAUCCCUGCUCCCGACGCCUUGUCAGUGUUCAGGCAGUCUGCGCUUCGUUCACCACGACCGCCUGAAGACAUGGAGUCAGAUGAGGAUCCACUCAGGUUAAACAAAUGAGAAGUGAAGCCCCAGUGUCACAUAAUGAUAAGGGCUGCUCUUUGAGUGAAAACAGUGAAGCGACUAGCUUAAGAGGGCCUGACACUGGGCAUUAGUAUCCACUCCGGAGAUGGACUGGACGGUUUAACAAACUCUCGCUUCUAUUGUUCGCCUCUUUAGAUACACACCUGUCUGCAGGGAAAUCGUGGGAACGAGUUUGAAUUUAGAAAUGCACCUGGAGGACUUGACUCUGAGAUUUGUAACAGAGAGUGACAUUAAUGCAGGAAUUAACACAUGGAUGAUUCUGCUAAGGAAGAGCAGAUCAAGUGUUUCAGGUGAUGGUUUUUUAAGUGACAGAUUUGCA